AAAGAGCACAAUUCACAAUUCCAAAGUUCCAGAUAGACUGCACACGAGUCAGAAUGACCCAUUAAGUGGAGGUGUGGCGUAAUUUUCAGAAGCAUUCAAAGCUGCUUGGUAAUCAAGCUGGGAAAUGCUAUGUUGGGCAAAAAUAAGAUGACAGGGCAAGCAUUCCUUGAGAAAUCCUCGUCUGCUCACUCGGCUUCACAGCCCCGCAGCCCUCUGACCAGUGAGAGCCCUGCAGCUGUGCCUCUUCAGGAGCACCUGGUGUUUCCGCCGCAAACACAGGAAUACAGAGCUCAGAGCCGCCCGCCCACCCCGUCCCCACAGCCAGCAGCUGGGAAAGCUCAGCCUCCUCACUGGGGCUGCUGCAAAUGGUCUCGCUGGUGUCUCAGUCCUAUUCUUGCCCCAUCCAAUCUUUUCUCCCCUCAGUAGUGAAGUAAUCCAUUUGAAAUAUAAGUAGGUUCAUGGCUUCCCCUGCUUCAAAGACUCCAAUAUGUUCCCGCUGAAUUUCAGUUAUAAUCCAAAUUCCUUCCCAGGGUUUAUGAAGACUGGGGACCAAGCCACUUUGUCCUUCUGUUUCAUCGUGGCCACUCUCCUCUCCUCACUUUU
rnacentral:lncRNA from 1 species